rnacentral:piRNA from 1 species
UGGGCCAAAUGCUGAGCCUGGGUCCCUAGA